GAUGAACGCUGGCGGCGUGCCUAAUACAUGCAAGUCGAGCGAACAGACGAGGAGCUUGCUCCUCUGACGUUAGCGGCGGACGGGUGAGUAACACGUGGAUAACCUACCUAUAAGACUGGGAUAACUUCGGGAAACCGGAGCUAAUACCGGAUAAUAUAUUGAACCGCAUGGUUCAAUAGUGAAAGACGGUUUUGCUGUCACUUAUAGAUGGAUCCGCGCCGCAUUAGCUAGUUGGUAAGGUAACGGCUUACCAAGGCAACGAUGCGUAGCCGACCUGAGAGGGUGAUCGGCCACACUGGAACUGAGACACGGUCCAGACUCCUACGGGAGGCAGCAGUAGGGAAUCUUCCGCAAUGGGCGAAAGCCUGACGGAGCAACGCCGCGUGAGUGAUGAAGGUCUUCGGAUCGUAAAACUCUGUCAUUAGGGAAGAACAAAUGUGUAAGUAACUAUGCACGUCUUGACGGUACCUAAUCAGAAAGCCACGGCUAACUACGU
rnacentral:rRNA from 1 species